UGUCCUGGGGAUAGUUUGCUGAGAAUGAUGGUUUCCAGCUUCAUCCAUGUCCCUCGAGACAGUAAUCAGGGUGUCAGCCAGGGCCACAGUCAUCCCAGGCUUGACUAGGGAAGGAAGUAUCUGUCUCCAAGCUCACUCACGUGAUCAUUGGCAAGAUUUGGUUCCUCACGGGCCAUUAGGCAGAGGCAACUCUCAGUUCCAGGCCAUGUGGGCCUCUCCACAGGGCUGCUCU
rnacentral:lncRNA from 10 species